rnacentral:tRNA from 1 species
GGUGAUCUUAGUUUAAUUAGAAUAUCGAUUUGUCUUAUCGAUGGUGGUUUUGUUUAUCAGGUUGCUC